CUACGUGCCAGCAGCCGCGGUAAUACGUAGGGCGCGAGCGUUGUCCGGAAUUAUUGGGCGUAAAGGGCUUGUAGGCGGUUGGUCGCGUCUGCCGUGAAAUCCUCUGGCUUAACUGGGGGCGUGCGGUGGGUACGGGCUGACUUGAGUGCGGUAGGGGAGACUGGAACUCCUGGUGUAGCGGUGGAAUGCGCAGAUAUCAGGAAGAACACCGGUGGCGAAGGCGGGUCUCUGGGCCGUUACUGACGCUGAGGAGCGAAAGCGUGGGGAGCGAACAGGAUUAGAUACCCUGGUAGUCCACGCUGUAAACGUUGGGCACUAGGUGUGGGGGCCACCCGUGGUUUCUGCGCCGUAGCUAACGCUUUAAGUGCCCCGCCUGGGGAGUACGGCCGCAAGGCUAAAACUCAAAGGAAUUGACGGGGGCCCGCACAAGCGGCGGAGCAUGCGGAUUAAUUCGAAGAUACGCGAAGAACCUUACCCGGACUUGAUAUC
rnacentral:rRNA from 1 species